AAAGAGCAGAUGGGACUGCUAGAGAAAGCAUCCAAAGAGGCAAUGGAGAGAAAUGAGACAGCAACAGUUUCCGACUUAAACAUUCGAGUUGGAAUGUGGCAGCUGCAGCUCACUAGUGUCUUCUCUGGGUCUCCAUCUUGUCCUCCAUUCACCAAAGUCUGAUGGUCUGUUCCGAGGGAAGUCACCAUCUGCACCCUCUGUUCACAGAAGAUGGCAUCAGACAAGUCACAGAAACAGCAACGAAUCGUAAAGAAAUGGAUAAUAUCGCAAUCACAUGUGAGAAAAGCAAUUGAAAAAUAUCAAUGACAGAUAUAUGGAAACAAUGAAUGAAACGUAAGCAGCUGGAAAUAUUACCAAUAAAAGAUAGAAAAAGGGGGAUCAUCUUCUAAUACUUGGGAAGUUUUUUUUGUCUACCGUCAUGAUUUUGCAACAAACCAGAAAUGUAAGACAGGAAAUAAAGCAACUUUACAUAAAUGUUAAAA